rnacentral:lncRNA from 1 species
AGUCAGUUGAAAGUCAGUUGGAACAGUUGAAAGCCCUUCGGAUUAGCUGACUUUGUGGACAUCUUCUGUCUUCUACCCCCAUGGCACAAUGUGGCGCUGGUUGCACAGAAGGCAAAGUCAUGGGCAAGAGGGGAGGCAGCCUGAAGAUUCAUGCCCCAAGCACAUGACCAGUUUUUAAAGAUGCUCUUUGGUCCUUCGACCUUUCUAAAUCUCACGCUGGGUGUUACGUGAGCCAGCAAUUUCCCCAGGGAGUUUUUCUGGUGAAUUAUCUGAGUUUCCCUUUUUGGUUUACCAUAAGGUUACCAGAUUUUUUUCCAAUGAAUCCGAGGACACUUUUCAACCUCAAUGGAUUUUGUAUGGGGACUGGUUUGUAAAUCCGGGGACUGUCACUGGGAACUGGGGAUGCCUGCUAACAUUCGUUUACCAUCAAAACUGGAGCAGAAUGACUCUCUGCCUCAGGUACAUUUCCGGCAUCUUGAAUCAGUUUCCCAACUCCCACCAGCCCCAGAUAACAGGCCAGGGGGGCAGGGGGAGGGAGUUGGAGUCCCAUAGCAACAUCUGGAAGGCACCACCAUUUGGGGGAGGCUUGAUGUAGAAAACAUCAGGGUAAUUUGGCAUCAUGGCCCUGGGUGAAUGGUCAGGACUUUAUCCUGGCCCUGAUGAGUAGCCAGAAUUAGUCACUCGCUGUCCAAUGUGAAAAGUGGAGGAAAGGACUUUGUUAGUCAUCUGUAGGAGAGCAGCCCUGGGGAUCCGCUCUGCACUCUUUGGAAAAUGAGACGUAACUUGUGGUGCCUUUUGUUUAUUUAAAACGUUGUACAGUGGUACCUCGGGUUACAUACGCUUCAGGUUACAGACUCCACCAACCCAGAAAUAGUGCUUCAGGUUAAGAACUUUGCUUCAGGAUGAGAACAGAAAUCGUGCUCCUGCGGCACGGCGGCAGCAGGAGGCACCCCAAGUAGUGCUUCAGGUUAAGAACAGUUUCAGGUUAAGAAUGGACCUCCGGAACGAAUAAAGUACUUAACCCGAGGUACCACUGUAGUGACUUGGCACAGAGUUAGUUCAGUGAGUUUUUCCUUGAGGAGAGGCAAAAUGCCCUCAAAAUGUGUGUGUGGCUGACAGGCACUUACUGUAUUUUUCGCUCUAUAAGACGCACCCAACCAUAAGAUGCACCUAGUUUUGGAGGAGAACAAGAAAAAAAAAUUCUCUCCCUCUCUGCGCAGCGCCUCUCCAGCAAAGCUUACUUUUUAGGAGGGGAAAAGUGCGUCUUAUAGAGUGAAAAAUAUGGUAAUCUGCAAGGAGGAUGGAGAAGGAGGAGGCACAGAGCAGGGCGGAGAGGCUGGUGGUGACUGGGAGGGUCUUUCUGUGCCUCUUACCUCAGGUCUUAGAAAGAUUUUACUGUGUGAACAACACAGGGGAAAUGCUGCGUUCCCACCCAAGCUGCUUUGCAUGUCGAGGUCCCCCAGGCCACCCCAAAUAACUCACACUUCACACAUCAAUUUUUGUUUAAGGUUUUUGGCAUGAAUUUGGCCACAACUUUAUUUAAAUACACACAUGUGAAUGGUUGCUUAGGCAUUGGUUCCGACUAUCUGUCCUUGUCCAGGGACAGAACUGACUUCCGGAUUCCAGCGGAAGCCAGUGAGGGAAACAAUUUUGGGGAGAAAAUGAAGCUGGGCCUCAGUCCCUCCCUUCUCACCCUCAUGCUCGUGGUGGCUUGCCCGGCCCAAGUCCGAUGCCAGGGAGAAGGAUGAAAAGAAUGGCAAGCCCCUGGAUUCCUUUAACGGAAUUCCCUUGGAGGGGUAGAUACUUACCCCUCCACCAACCAAUUUAAUAAUAAUAAUAAUUGUUAUUUAUACCCCGCCCUCCCCAGCCAAGGCUGGGCUCAGAGCGGCUUACAAGCAAUAAUAAAAACAAGUUGAAUGAUUACAACUU